CCUACGGGGGGCAGCAGUGAGGAAUUUUGGACAAUGGGGGAAACCCCGAUCCAGCGACGCCGCGUGAAGGAUGAAGGUCUUCGGAUUGUAAACUUCUUUUGUCCGCGAAUAAAAAAUCUUUGGAAACAGAGAGACUGAAUGUACCGGAUGAAUAAGCCACGGCUAACUUCGUGCCAGCAGCCGCGGUAAUACGAAGGUGGCGAGCGUUACUCGGAAUGACUAGGCGUAAAGGGCAGGUAGGUGGUUUGGCAAGUCUGUUGUGAAAGCUCCUGGCUUAACUGGGAGAGGUCAACAGAUACUGUCAGGCUUGAGUAUGGGAGAGGGUACUGGAAUUCCCGGUGUAGCGGUGAAAUGCGCAGAUAUCGGGAGGAACACCAAUGGCGAAAGCAGGUACCUGGACCAUUACUGACACUAAGCUGCGAAAGCUAGGGGAGCAAACA
rnacentral:rRNA from 1 species